AUUGAACGCUGGCGGCAGGCCUAACACAUGCAAGUCGAACGAGUGGCGGACGGGUGAGUAAUGUCUGGGAAACUGCCUGAUGGAGGGGGAUAACUACUGGAAACGGUAGCUAAUACCGCAUACCAUCGGAUGUGCCCAGAUGGGAUUAGCUAGUAGGUGGGGUAAAGGCUAACCUAGUCGACGAUCCCUAGCUGGUCUGAGAGGAUGACGAGCCACACGGGAACUUGGACACGGUCCGUACUCCUAGGGAAGUCACCGGUGGGGAAUAUUGCACAAUGGGCGCAAGCCUGAUGCAGCCAUGCCGCGUAGAUGAAGAAGGCCUUCGGUUUGUAAAGUACGUUCAGCGGGGAGGCGUUACCCGCAGAAGAAGCACCGGCUAACUCCGUGCCAGCCGCCGCGGUAAUAC
rnacentral:rRNA from 1 species